rnacentral:lncRNA from 1 species
UGCCACGCUGAGAAACACUUAUUGUAGGCUAUGUUAAUUCACAAUAGGUAAACAUCAAACAUUAAAUCCCAGCAGCAACAGCUCUGGGCAAUCACCCAUCCUGUUCUAAUUAUCUGCUCAGAGAAAACAUUUGCUUCAGUACCUCCUUUCUCACUGUCCUGUGUUUGUUUCAUCCCCAAACACACAAUGAGGUAUUUUCCAAGGCAGGUGAAAAGCUCAGUAAGUUGCACAAAUAGAUUUGAUUUUGUACAACUUGGCAUGGUGGCAUCAGCUUGUUUUACCUCGGUAGCUGUGAGUAAAUUUGUGUUUGCAGCUUCUGAAAAAUCAAUUACAAGGUGCUUAUCCAUAAAGAUGGAUAAAAAACCAACAUAAAACAUGAACCCACCAUUCUUACAGGUAAAUUAUUACAAAAGAUGCAAUGGAGUGACUGAUCAUUACCGUCCUCCUCUAUCACUGAAGGGUGUGAAGAGCAGAAUGUCUUUUACAAUCUGUCUUCCAAUACAACAUUUCUGUAAUUUAUUUUCCUUCUCUUUGAAAAACAUUUUUUUUUAAAUAUUCUUCAUUUGCUAUGGAUGAUACUGGCAAGAAAUGCUAAAUUUUCAGGAAUUUGUUUUAUUAAAUGAGCAGACAUAUGUAGAAAGUUCUGGAAAAAGUUAAGCAAGACUGCUUAGUAUAGAAUAAAUGCAGUCAGUCUUUAAUAUACUAUUUGCAUUAAAGUUAUCUGAUGAAACACAUUUUUUUUGUGUGAUUCUAUUGGGCACAUAUAGAAAAAAAAAAGGAUGGAUGCCAAACGGAAAUAUUCUUUGGGCUUUUUAAAUGGAAAUUCUGCCACAUUUUUCCACAUCUUUUAAGGAAACACAGAUAUAUCUAUGAUGUGUUGCGUCUAACAUUGACAAACUCUGAACAAGGCUUUUAAUCACAUUGCUAACACUGUAUUUUUUGUUAUAUAUAAAACCUAAGUUUUUGCUCAGAUACUCUUGAUAUUCUCAAUUUGAAUUAUUAUUUUCAGUAGAGAACAAUACUAGAAUGGUAUCUGCCAAAAUUAAAUUUUGCUCUGUAGCUCUAGAUGAGGUGUAUCAUUGGAAAUCAGAGAAUUUCCUUCUUGGGAUCCAUAAAAAAAACUUGAAAAAACCCAGCCCACACCCAGUAAUAGAAACUGUUUCUAUGUUUAAUAAAGUUUUGCCCAUCCUUUAGGACUAGCUAUAAAAAUGACAACUGCUGCUCUGGUUUUGAAGACAGAAACCUUUGCCACUUAGUCUUAAAACUGCCAAUAGAAAUCUGAAGAGAUGCCUCAACAAAAUAAAAUUACUCAUUGAAUUCCCUGUCAAUGGUUUCUGUAUUGCUGUCUAGGUGAAGCAAGAGGAUUUUUCUUCUCAUAUAAAUGAUGAAAAAUCAGAGGAGACCUUUACAUUUUUUUUCCCUUUUCCUAUUUGCUUCUCAAUUUUAUUUCAAUUUAAUAACUUGUUCUGUGCUAAGUGCUGCAUUAGUUCAGGGCACAGUGCUGUUAAAAACUUGUGCUAGAUUUUGAUACUUAGAUUUAGAUGAUAAACCUACGUUCACUUUUUCAUUAUCUUUUAGGAGAUCAUUAGCCCUUAAAGAAAAUAUGCUUAGCAAGAAUUUAACCAAGGUAAUGUCUGAUAUGUUUGAGUUAAUAGAAAAAAGUAAACAAGUUCAGAAAGGAAUUUAAAAUUGCUUUAACAGUGAGUUUCUGGUAGCCCUUUAUUCAAUGCAGCACACAGGUCUCUGGUGAGAAAUGAGCUGUUGAAUUAUUUACGGUAAGAGCCAUAAGUUGACAGAUGCCAACUCUUUAGUGGCUGAACUCAAAGGAGGUAAAAAGUUUAAAAGAAAAGGUUAAAAAGAGCUAAAAUACCCCCAAAAAAGGUAUUUUCAGUCAAUAUAAUGGUUAUCAGUCUCAGGCUCUCACUGAGGGAGAGCAAAGGACGAAUCAGAACAGUGUUCAGCACCCCCAAAUCCUUCUCCCUGGGCUGCUCCAUCCUUUCAUUCCCAGCCUGGAUGGAUCCUGGGGAUUGCCCUGACCCAGGUGCAGCACCAGCACUUGUGAGGUUAAACAUCAUGAGAUCCUUGUGGUCCCACAUCCACUCCCUGGAUUAAAUCUGCUCUGUGCACAUGCAUGAAUCCCUCCAGGUGCCAAACUCACACAUUCCUUCCCAGAUUUCAAAUCCAUGCAAGCACUUCUGGCUCCCAGAGAUCAGUGAAUCCCUCUGGAGAGCAAUUCUGAAGGCUCCUGACACGAGCUCCUCUGGUGGGCUGCUG